GACGGAGGAUGCAAGUGUUAUCCGGAAUCACUGGGCGUAAAGCGUCUGUAGGUGGUUCGAAAAGUCCACUGUUAAAAAUUGAAGCUUAACUUCAAAGAUGCCGUGGAAACUUUCAAACUAGAGUGUGGUAGGGGUAGAGGGAAUUUCCAGUGGAGCGGUGAAAUGCGUAGAUAUUGGAAAGACCACCGAUGGCGAAGGCACUCUACUGGGCCAUUACUGACACUGAGAGACGAAAGCUAGGGAGCAAACGGG
rnacentral:rRNA from 1 species